GUAGGUGGCGAGCGUUAUCCGGAUUUACUGGGUGUAAAGGGUGUGUAGGCGGGACUGCAAGUCGGAUGUGAAAAUCACAGGCUUAACCUGUGACCUGCAUUCGAAACUGUGGUUCUUGAGGGUCGGAGAGGUAACUGGAAUUCCUGGUGUAGCGGUGAAAUGCGUAGAUAUCAGGAGGAACACCGGUGGCGAAGGCGGGUUACUGGACGAUUACUGACGCUGAGACACGAAAGCGUGGGGAGCAAACAGGAUUAGAUACCCUGGUAGUCCACGCUGUAAACGAUGAAUGCUAGGUGUGGGGGUGCAAACUUCCGUGCCGCAGUUAACACAAUAAGCAUUCCACCUGGGGAGU
rnacentral:rRNA from 1 species